GAGUAAAGUUCGUAAGAGGAAGAGGAAUGGGUAAAGAAACAGAGGUCAAUGAAUAUGAACUACAGAGGGCUGCCAACAUAAGAGAAAAUAUGAAGAGGAUGAGAUCUCUUAAUCUCCCUGUACCUAGUACUAUGGUUAAUGAAGCAAAUGGAUCACAUCGAGCCAACAAGAAACACAAGGUUAAUGUAUUCCCCUAUUUAAUAAGUUCAUGUUUUGAACCUGUAUGUUGAAUGUUUUCAACUUCUUUGAGUGCAGACAAGGAAAUUAGCAUAUUCAACUAAUGGUCCUACUUUGCGAUCAAGGAAUCAAAGGGAUAUUGUUGACGAUAACCAUGAGGAUAGUACUUCUGAAAAUAGUUAUGGAGAAUCUGAAUAUCCCAUCAAUGAUGAAGAGCAACCUACUGGGCAUCAUAAUAUAAGGAAAGGAAGGGGCCCAACUUUGAAGAAGAACAUAUAUUCAAAUAGUGGUGGGCCUAAAAUCUCCAUUACCCUUAAUGAAUAUGGCCAACCUGUUGGUAGGAACAUCAAAAAGUUUGGUAAUUUCAUAGGAACUUUGGUGAGGAAAAAUAUCCCGGUUUCUUCUGAGGAUUGGAGACUAGUUGAUUCUAAAAAGAAGUUCGAGUUAUGGACAAAAGUGAAGGAAUACUAUGAGUUGGAUGAAUCUGGUAUAGAUUAUGUUAUAACAUCUGCAACAAAAAAGUGGAGAGAGUUUAAGGCUGACCUAAAGAUGAAAUACUUUGAUGAAACAUUGAGUUUUGAAGAGCUUAUUGCUACAAGGGAUGAAAGGGUGAAAGAAUCUGAUUGGGAGUGGUUGAUAACUUAUUGGAUGUCCCCAG